CCCUAGUAACGGCGAGUGAAGCGGGAAGAGCUCAAAUUUGUAAUCUGGCACCUUCGGUGUCCGAGUUGUAAUCUCGAGAAGUGUUUUCCGCGCCGGACCGCAUACAAGUCUGUUGGAAUACAGCGUCAUAGUGGUGAGAACCCCGUAACUGAUGCGGAUGCCCGGUGCUUUGUGAUACACUUUCGAAGAGUCGAGUUGUUUGGGAAUGCAGCUCAAAUUGGGUGGUAAAUUCCAUCUAAAGCUAAAUAUUGGCGAGAGACCGAUAGCGAACAAGUACCGUGAGGGAAAGAUGAAAAGCACUUUGGAAAGAGAGUUAACAGUACGUGAAAUUGUUGGAAGGGAAACGCUUGAAGUCAGACUUGCUAUUUGGAAUUCAGCCGCAAGGUGUACUUUUCAAUUCGCAGGCCAGCAUCAGUUUUCGGGGGUGGAAAAGGGUAGAGAGAAGGUAGCAAUUUCGGUUGUGUUAUAGCUCUUUGCUGGAUUCAUCCUUGGGGACUGAGGAACGCAGCACGCUUUUUGCAAGGCUUUCGAGCUUUUCGUGCUUAG
rnacentral:rRNA from 1 species